GGGACACGUGGUAUCCUGUCUGAAUAUGGGGGGACCAUCCUCCAAGGCUAAAUACUCCUGACUGACCGAUAGUGAACCAGUACCGUGAGGGAAAGGCGAAAAGAACCCCGGCGAGGGGAGUGAAAAAGAACCUGAAACCGUGUACGUACAAGCAGUGGGAGCACGCUUAGGCGUGUGACUGCGUACCUUUUGUAUAAUGGGUCAGCGACUUAUAUUCUGUAGCAAGGUUAACCGAAUAGGGGAGCCGAAGGGAAACCGAGUCUUAACUGGGCGUUAAGUUGCAGGGUAUAGACCCGAAACCCGGUGAUCUAGCCAUGGGCAGGUUGAAGGUUGGGUAACACUAACUGGAGGACCGAACCGACUAAUGUUGAAAAAUUAGCGGAUGACUUGUGGCUGGGGGUGAAAGGCCAAUCAAACCGGGAGAUAGCUGGUUCUCCCCGAAAGCUAUUUAGGUAGCGCCUCGUGAAUUCAUCUCCGGGGGUAGAGCACUGUUUCGGCAAGGGGGUCAUCCCGACUUACCAACCCGAUGCAAACUGCGAAUACCGGAGAAUGUUAUCACGGGAGACACACGGCGGGUGCUAACGUCCGUCGUGAAGAGGGAAACAACCCAGACCGCCAGCUAAGGUCCCAAAGUCAUGGUUAAGUGGGAAACGAUGUGGGAAGGCCCAGACAGCCAGGAUGUUGGCUUAGAAGCAGCCAUCAUUUAAAGAAAGCGUAAUAGCUCACUGGUCGAGUCGGCCUGCGCGGAAGAUGUAACGGGGCUAAACCAUGCACCGAAGCUGCGGCAGCGACACUAUGUG
rnacentral:rRNA from 1 species